GUUACUUUACUUGGACUUAACUCUUUUGAUGCCACUUUCCCAUUAAUUUCUGUAUUCUUGAAGGUGGCCUCGAUUAGAUUUAUCAGCUAAUAGGAAAAUUAAACUCUAUUAGUAUGUAAAGAAAGCUUUGUCGGUGAAUGGAAUCAUAUGCUUUUUGAAAAUCCACAAACAGAACACAAAAACUCUUAUUAUAUUCCCACGACUUUUCUAUAAUCAGUCUUACACUAAAAAUGUGAUCUGUUGUUGAUCUAUUGGGUCUGAAACCUCCUUAGUAAUCUCCCAAUAUCUCCUCAGCUAAUGAUUUAAUUCUACCAAGUAUAUAAUAAGACAGGAUUGUGUAGGCC